UACGUAGGGGGCAAGCGUUGUCCGGAUUUAUUGGGCGUAAAGCGCGUGUAGGCGGCCAGAUAGGUCUGCUGUGAAACUCGAGGCUCAACCUCGAGCUGUCGGCGGAAACCAUCUGGCUAGAGUCCGGAAGAGGAGAGUGGAAUUCCAGGUGUAGCGGUGAAAUGCGUAGAUAUCUGGAGGAAUACCGGUGGCGAAGGCGGCAUCCUGGACCGACAUUGACGCUGAGGAGCGAAAGCCAGGGGAGCAAAGCAGG
rnacentral:rRNA from 1 species